CCACAGGCACCCUGCAACACAUACAGAGCAACUGAUGAAGCCCACGAUUGAGGAGGAUGCCAUGCAGUGUCUGAAUUAUACAUACGCCUUGCUUUUGCUUUCCUUAAACCAUUGUGAUGACGUGCCAUUUAGCUGCAUAAUGUCACUGCUACGGAUACUUGCUAUGUUUCCUGCAAUAUCAGAUACGUUGCAAGCAAAUCAGGAAUUUCAGCAGUUUAUCUCAGAGAGAUACAAUGAGUUUGCAGAUUACAUCAAUAAUUGGCUGGAAAAAUCCUUUCUAAGGUCAACUAGAAAGUUCUUGGAGACCAUCAGCGUGAGUAGCAAGAACCCACAGAAGGGAUAACCACUCACCUGGAAGGUCUGUCUGUCCCUUGAGGCCCAGUUGACCAGUUUUACUUUCCUGCCAUAGGUGUGGAAUGAGCUGUUCUUGUUUGAGAUCCUCUGUGUGGAAUGGACCCAGAAAUGGCAAAGCCUGUUACGCUGCAUGUUUGAAAGGUGGCUGAAGAAAGCAGAUGACAGAAAACUUCUGGACUUCUACCUGGAAUUCAUGAAGGCGGACAAGCAUUGGAAUACAAAUAUGGAGAGCUGCUUUACAGAUUGUGUCAUUCAAAGGCUUAAAUACUUUGACAAAAGUGAGGAGCCCAUGUUAGGAAAAAUGGUUUCCACAAUCAUCAAGACAAACAGGUCAACUGUCGAGAAAAUGCUUUCUGCUGUUGUUGAGAAAAUAUUCUUAGACAAGAUGAACACGUUGCAAAAAGUAGACAGUUUUGUUGACAGCACGGGACAAGUUCUCACGGAGUUGCUCAGCUCUUCCGUGAUCUAUGAUGUCCUCUCCACUGUUGAAAAAUCAGAACGUAACCUUCAAAAAGAGAUCAAUGAAAAAGCAACAGCCCUACUUACCCGGUUUUAUGAUUUCUUCGUUUUUUUGAGACACCAUUUUUUCUCAGGAGACAUCCCCUGCAACAUACUCUCCAUCAUCUUGAAACAUCAAGAGCUAUUUCAGAAGAUACUGUGCAUCUGCGGUAA
rnacentral:lncRNA from 1 species